rnacentral:piRNA from 1 species
UCCAAGACCAAGAUGGUGGAAAUUACCCGC